rnacentral:rRNA from 1 species
UUACCAGCUCUUGACAUUCGGGGUAUGGGCAUUGGAGACGAUGUCCUUCAGUUAGGCUGGCCCCAGAACAGGUGCUGCAUGGCUGUCGUCAGCUCGUGUCGUGAGAUGUUGGGUUAAGUCCCGCAACGAGCGCAACCCUCGCCCUUAGUUGCCAGCAUUUAGUUGGGCACUCUAAGGGGACUGCCGGUGAUAAGCCGAGAGGAAGGUGGGGAUGACGUCAAGUCCUCAUGGCCCUUACGGGCUGGGCUACACACGUGCUACAAUGGUGGUGACAGUGGGCAGCGAGACAGCGAUGUCGAGCUAAUCUCCAAAAGCCAUCUCAGUUCGGAUUGCACUCUGCAACUCGAGUGCAUGAAGUUGGAAUCGCUAGUAAUCGCAGAUCAGCAUGCUGCG